rnacentral:rRNA from 1 species
UGGGGAAUAUUGCACAAUGGGCGCAAGCCUGAUGCAGCCAUGCCGCGUGUAUGAAGAAGGCCUUCGGGUUGUAAAGUACUUUCAGUCGGGAGGAAGGUGGUAAGGUUAAUAACCUUAUCAAUUGACGUUACCGACAGAAGAAGCACCGGCUAACUCCGUGCCAGCAGCCGCGGUAAUACGGAGGGUGCAAGCGUUAAUCGGAAUUACUGGGCGUAAAGCGCACGCAGGCGGUCUGUCAAGUCGGAUGUGAAAUCCCCGGGCUCAACCUGGGAACUGCAUUCGAAACUGGCAGGCUAGAGUCUUGUAGAGGGGGGUAGAAUUCCAGGUGUAGCGGUGAAAUGCGUAGAGAUCUGGGGGAAUACCGGUGGCGAAGGCGGCCCCCUGGACAAAGACUGACGCUCAGGUGCGAAAGCGUGGGGAGCAAACAGG